AGGGGCAGCAUGAACUUAGCUUGCUAAGUUUGAUGGCGACCGGCGCACGGGUGAGUAACGCGUAUCCAACCUGCCCAUGGCUGGGGGAUAACCUUGCGAAAGCAAGCCUAAUACCCCAUGGCCUCCCUCUGGGGCAUCCCGGAGGGAGUAAAGGAGCGAUCCGGCGAUGGAUGGGGAUGCGUCCGAUUAGCUUGCCGGUGGGGUCACGGCCCACCGGGGCGACGAUCGGUAGGGGUUCUGAGAGGAAGGUCCCCACACUGGAACUGAGACACGGUCCAGACUCC
rnacentral:rRNA from 1 species